GGUUUGAUGGUCUAGUGGUAGGAUUCUCGCUUUGGGUUGAUUUCUUCAAUCAUAAAUGCGAGAGGUCCCGGGUUCGAUCCCCGGUCAAACCC